CCCCUCUCAGGAUCGGACCUGGAGAGUUUCCAGUAUUCUACCAGUCUUGACUAGGAAAGGGAGUGUCAACAGAGGCAUACUCAUUCCAUUUCUAGCUUGGGCAGUGGCUAGCGAGUGGAAGGCAAUCUGCUACAUGU